rnacentral:tRNA from 3 species
GCCCCCGUAGUUCAAUGGAUAGAACAGAGCUCUUCUAAGGCUUUGAUGUAGGUUCGAUUCCUGCCGGGGGCACAA